AUUGUUCUCCACUACCCGAGAAUUACACAGGAUUCGAAACAAGUCCUACUAAGAUAGAGAAGCAUAUGAAACAUCGGGAGAAGAAUAAGAUCAUAGAGCAUAGCAAACCGCUAAACCAUGUGCGCUGUUCAUGCCCUUUUUGGUCUGAUUCGAUAGGGCUCUAGAUGAGGCCCUUACUUAAAAGGGUUGAAGCCCCAGUUAAUCCACCAUCUCCGUGGACGCUAUGUUAUCCGAACUCCCAACAUCAAUGAUCAUCUUUGCACUGGACAAUUCUGACAUAGACUCAGAAUACAGCCUUCCGUCUCCUCCUCCUUUUUGCUGACGUUGGCUCACACUGCCACACAAUCUAACGGGGGCGAAACUCUCUCCUCUCCUAAGCACCCCUCGGGUAAUACGACUUUCAUAAUACAUGAAGCAGCUGAGUGAUAGCUCUUCGAUCGCUAUAUUCUUGUGAUAUUAAGGUGUGGUUCAUCUUCUAAGAGAGAGUAGAUGCGAAGGUUCAGAUCGAAGAUAUUCGCGAGACGCCCAUGAAUCUCGAGAAUCUAGGCGUAACCACUCCCUUGGUAAGGGGCUACCUCUAUCCUUUAAAUUAAUGGAUUCACAGGUCUUUUUGAUUCUCAUUGUUGGAAGAUUGUUAAUGUACCUCUUGCGAAAAUAUAUUAAAUUAAUUAGG
rnacentral:lncRNA from 1 species